rnacentral:rRNA from 1 species
GCGGCAGGCCUAACACAUGCAAGUCGAGCGGCCGUAGCAAUACGGCAGCGGCAGACGGGAGAGUAACACGUGGGAACGUGCCCUUCGGUUCGGAAUAACGCAGGGAAACUUGCGCUAAUACCGGAUACGCCCUUACGGGGAAAGAUUUAUCGCCGAUGGAGCGGCCCGCGUCUGAUUAGCUAGUUGGUGAGGUAUUGGCUCACCAAGGCGACGAUCAGUAGCUGGUCUGAGAGGAUGAUCAGCCUCACUGGGACUGAGACACGGCCCAGACUCCUACGGGAGGCAGCAGUGGGGAAUAUUGGACAAUGGGCGCAAGCCUGAUCCAGCCAUGCCGCGUGGAUGAUGAAGGCCUUAGGGUUGUAAAGUCCUUUUAACGGGGAAGAUAAUGACGGUACCCGUAGAAUAAGCCCCGGCUAACUUCGUGCCAGCAGCCGCGGUAAUACGAAGGGGGCUAGCGUUGCUCGGAAUUACUGGGCGUAAAGCGCACGUAGGCGGCUCUUUAAGUCGGGGGUGAAAUCCUGGAGCUCAACUCCAGAACUGCCUUCGAUACUGAAGGGCUCGAGUCCGGGAGAGGUGAGUGGAACUGCGAGUGUAGAGGUGA